UACGUAGGGUGCGAGCGUUGUCCGGAAUUAUUGGGCGUAAAGAGCUUGUAGGCGGUUUGUCGCGUCUGCUGUGAAAAUCCGGGGCUCAACCCCGGACUUGCAGUGGGUACGGGCAGACUGAGAGUGGUGAGGGGAGACGUGGAAUUCCUGGUGUAGCGGUGGAAUGCGCAGAUAUCGGGAAGAACACCCGUGGCGAAGGCGGCUCUCCG
rnacentral:rRNA from 1 species